rnacentral:rRNA from 1 species
CCCUUAGAUGUUCUGGGCUGCACGCGCGCUACACUGAAGCGUUCAACGAGUAUUUCACCUUGCCCGGGAGGGUUGGGUAAUCUUUUUAAAACGCUUCGUGAUGGGGAUAGAUUAUUGCAAUUAUUGCUCUUCAACGAGGAAUUCCUAGUAAGCGUAAGUCAUCAGCUUGCGUUGAUUACGUCCCUGCCCUUUGUACACACCGCCCGUCGCUACUACCGAUUGAAUGGCUUAGUGAGGCCUCCGGAUUGGCUUUGGGGAGCCGGCAACGGCACCUCAUGGCUGAGAAGUUGGUCAAACUUGGUCAUUUAGAGGAAGUAAAAGUCGUAACA